rnacentral:lncRNA from 1 species
GUUGUCCAUAUGACAGGAUAACUCUGAAGGACAGAGCUUGUCUGGAUUCACAAUUGACAUAGCAGAUAUAAAGCUUAGGACAGAGUCUAGAGCUGUGAAGAUGAUGCCUGGAGGAUACAAACCUUCCCACCUGGUCAGAAGCUUUAAUGUGAUAAAAGAAUUGGCUGAAAAACACUAGAAAUGACCUCAGAAAGGUUCAAGAACCCAGAGAGUCCUGGCAUGGAAACUGAAGAAAGCCUAGACAACUGUCAAAUGAGAGACAACGUGAACCAGUCCCCCACAUUACCCCUGGAAACAGUCAGCUGACUACCAGGCCUGAUGUACCCUGAAAAGUCAGAUGAUCACAAUGGGCUUAAGAUACUUUUCUUGGAAAAAUGCCACCCAGCAACACACUGAGCAAUCAUUUCCAUCUUCUUGAUAAAGAUGCAAAGGAAAUAUGGAUGCAUUUAGCCUGGUCCACAAGACUACCACAGGAG